UACGGAGGGUGCAAGCGUUAUCCGGAUUCACUGGGUUUAAAGGGUGCGUAGGUGGGCAGGUAAGUCAGUGGUGAAAUCUCCGGGCUUAACCCGGAAACUGCCAUUGAUACUAUCUGUCUUGAAUACCGUGGAGGUGAGCGGAAUAUGUCAUGUAGCGGUGAAAUGCUUAGAUAUGACAUAGAACACCAAUUGCGAAGGCAGCUUACUUCACGAUCAUUGACACUGAGGCACGAAAGCGUGGGGAGCAAACAGG
rnacentral:rRNA from 1 species